rnacentral:rRNA from 1 species
UAACGCGUGGGUAACCUGCCCUAUACACAUGGAUAACAUACUGAAAAGUUUACUAAUACAUGAUAAUAUAUAUUUACGGCAUCGUAGAUAUAUCAAAGUGUUAGCGGUAUAGGAUGGACCCGCGUCUGAUUAGCUAGUUGGUGAGAUAACUGCCCACCAAGGCGACGAUCAGUAGCCGACCUGAGAGGGUGAUCGGCCACAUUGGAACUGAGACACGGUCCAAACUCCUACGGGAGGCAGCAGCA